rnacentral:rRNA from 1 species
UACGAGGGGGGCAAAUGUUGUUCGGAAUCACUGGGCGUAAAGGGAGCGUAGGCGGUUUUUUAAGUUAGGUGUUUAAUCCCGGGGCCCAACCCCGGACAGGCACCUAAAACUGGAAAACUUGAAUAGUGGAGAGGUCGGCGGAAUUGGGGGUGUAGCGGUGGAAUGCGUAGAGAUCCCCAAGAACACCAGUUGCGAAGGCGGCCGACUGGACACAUAUUGACGCUGAGGCUCGAAAGCAUGGGGAGCAAAC